GUACAUACAUGUCAGAUAAGAGUCCAUAAUGACAAAGGUGGUUUUCCCAGGGUGGGGCUCAUCCUUUGUAUUCCUGAUGUGUAGAUCCCCGUGAUUUCCUCAAAGGGAAGAAACUCAGCUGCCUGAUUUGUGGUAGUGGAGGACUGUAGUGGCUACACUUUCUC